GAUGAACGCUGGCGGCGUGCCUAAUACAUGCAAGUCGAGCGAACGGACGAGAAGCUUGCUUCUCUGAUGUUAGCGGCGGACGGGUAAGUAACACGUGGAUAACCUACCUAUAAGACUGGGAUAACUUCGGGAAACCGUAGCUAAUACCGGAUAAUAUUUUGAACCGCACGGUUCAAAAGUGAAAGACGGUCUUGCUGUCACUUAUAGAUGGAUCCGCGCUGCAUUAGCUAGUUGGUAAGGUAACGGCUUACCAAGGCAACGAUGCAUAGCCGACCUGAGAGGGUGAUCGGCCACACUGGAACUGAGACACGGUCCAGACUCCUACGGGAGGCAGCAGUAGGGAAUCUUCCGCAAUGGGCGAAAGCCUGACGGAGCAACGCCGCGUGAGUGAUGAAGGUCUUCGGAUCGUAAAACUCUGUUAUUAGGGAAGAACAUAUGUGUAAGUAACUGUGCACAUCUUGACGGUACCUAAUCAGAAAGCCACGGCUAACUACGUG
rnacentral:rRNA from 1 species